rnacentral:rRNA from 1 species
AGCGAACGCUGGCGGCAGGCUUAACACAUGCAAGUCGAACGGCCCUUUCGGGGGCGAGUGGCGGACAGGUGAGUAACACGUGGGAACGUGCCCUUAGGUUCGGAACAACACAGGGAAACUUGUGCUAAUACCGGAUGUGCCCUUUUGGGGAAAGAUUUAUCGCCUUUGGAGCGGCCCGCGUCUGAUUAGCUAGUUGGUGGGGUAAAGGCCUACCAAGGCUACGAUCAGUAGCUGGUCUGAGAGGANGGCCAGCCACACUGGGACUGAGACACGGCCCAGACUCCUACGGGAGGCAGCAGUGGGGAAUAUUGCGCAAUGGGCGAAAGCCUGACGCAGCGACGCCGCGUGAGGGAUGACGGCCU